AUGUCUGGGGACGCUCGUCUGCGGCUUAUUAACUCCGUGCCCUCCGCCAUUCCAGUGUACUUAAUCACCAUCUUUAAGCUCGGUGCUUGGGCCAUCAAGCAAAUCGACAAGCUAAGGCGGAACUUCCUGUGGCGCUCCCGGCCGGAGGCAGACACGGGCAUUGCUUUGGUCAACUGGUCCACAGUAUGUCGCCCAAAAUACCUUGGGGGUCUUGGCGUGACUGAUCUGAAGCGGUUUGGUAGGGCGCUACGGCUUAGGUGGAAGUGGCUUGAGUGGCGGGACCAGAACAGGCCUUGGAUUGGCUCACUCACUCCCUGUGACCAAGAUGACGAGGCUCUGUUUGCUGCUGCUACAAAUAUCACUGGGGGCAAUGGUUCGCGGGCUCGCUUCUAG
rnacentral:rRNA from 1 species